rnacentral:tRNA from 3 species
GCGCCCGUAGCUCAGCUGGAUAGAGCAACGGCCUUCUAAGCCGUGGGUCGCAGGUUCGAGUCCUGCCGGGCGCG